rnacentral:rRNA from 1 species
AUUGAACGCUGGCGGCAGGCCUAACACAUGCAAGUCGAACGAGUGGCGGACGGGUGAGUAAUGGCUGGGAAACUGCCUGAUGGAGGGGGAUAACUAAUGGAAACGGUAGCUAAUACCGCAUACCAUCAGAUGUGCCCAGAUGGGAUGAGCUAGUUGGUGGGGUAACGGCUCACCAAGGCGACGAUCCCUAGCUGGUCUGCGAGGAUGAGCGGCCACACUGGAACUGAGACACGGUCCAGACGCCGACGGGAGGCAGCAGUAGGGAAUAUUGGACAAUGGGCGCAAGCCUGAUGCAGCCAUGCCGCGUGUAUGAAGAAGGCCUUCGGGGUGUAAAGUGCUGUCAGCGGAGAGGCGUUACCCACAGAAGAAGCACCGGCUAACUCCGUGCCAGCAGCCGCGGUAAUAC